GGACAAAAAUAAUGAUCGGAAAAAGUAAUAUUAUUAUAAUUUUUUAUGUACCUAUACAACUCCGAGAAAACGUUUAUAUACGAGUUACGACUCAUCAAAUAAAAAUAUAUAUUUGUUUAAACCAACACGACGCAUAUCUAAUGCACGAAGAAGAAUAGUACUUAAAUUCAAAAUCGUAUAAAGUUUAUAUUUUUUGUCGGUCAAUAGGUAAGUACUAUAUGUAAACCCCGAUUUUGUAAGCGGGUUAACCGUCGCGACGGAAUCGUUAAAUAAUAAUAAAAAAAAAUUAUAAUGAUAAUAAUAUAUUAUGUUUGUGUAUACGUGUGAUGUGGAAACAACCGUCGUCAUUAAACGCGUGGGCCCUACUCGCCCGCGGCGGCAGAAGCUCGAAAACUAACGAUGUAUGUAUAUAUAUAUAUGUAGGACGUAGGUGUAAAUAGGCCGAUAUUAUGUAUUAUAUUUUAACGGGAAAUCCGUUAAACGCGCAGGAGCGAGCAAAAGGUCUCAAGAGAACCGGUCCCCCUUCGGACGGACAUUGCAAAAUCUCCGUGAAAUUUCCAUACGGACACGUCGUCGUCGUCGUACUUAUAUAACGAUAAUAAUAACGAAUGCGCGCCAAAAAGACGAGGUCCGCUACCCGGUUAUAGGGGGUGGUUGGCUCGAAAGGGGUAUGAAUUCCGACGCUAUAAUACGGCGGGUUCGCAUAUAAUAGACAUACGCGUAAUUUGUGCGGGUACCUAUACGCCGAUCGAGUGUGCAUGCAUAAUAUACAUAUAUUAUAUUAUUUGCGCAAGUGUGGCGGGUGCGUAUGUGUGGGAAGAAGACACACGUUCGGCGCGGGAGGGUAUACGUGCGGACAAUGCGAACGCACCGUGGGAGUCGUCGGGGCGUUUAUGGACCGGGCGAACCGGUCCCCGGACCGCGCAGCAUCCCGCCGAAAGGUAACACUACAAACAUUUCGCACGGUGAGAGAGACUUAUUAAUAUUACGCGUGUACACCCCCUAUUUAUAUAUAUGUAUAUUGUAUACAUACGUUCUUGUCUGGACACCGGCAUCAUAUAUAUAGUAAUAUCGUAAUUAGCAUAUACGUCAUAUACCUACAUACGAAGACGACGGUUAUUGUAAUUUUCGCAGUCCUAUAUAAGCCAUCGAGACGGGUUGUUACCGUUUUUGUAUCGGUGUCGAUACCAUUCCAACGACGUCUACCGCUGCUGCUUAUUCUGUUGCUGUCUGCUGCUGCUGCUGCUGCUGUCAUACUACGCGUUAUCGACCAUCAGAGUUUUAAAAUAAUGAAAAACGACGGUGAAAAAUAUCGACUGCUCACCAUAUUUUUACAUAAUAAUAUAUUAUUAUUGUGGCGUACCCUGUUGGAGUAUACGCUUAAUAUUAAAACGAUAAAAGAAGACAGAACUUGUGGAUAGUCAUAGACCAUAGUCCAUGCACAUGUUUCAAGCAACCAAACUUUACAGAAGCAUCUUUAUAUACUUGCAGGAUCAGAUUAAUAUAUUAUUGUACGGACAUGAGUCACAAAAUACAGAAGACGACCGACGAUCGAGUUCAUAUGCGAUCGGGGGAACGACAUGCGAUAAGUGCACAUUAGGCUAUUUCAUUAUGUCAAUUGAUCUCAAAGAGAUCAGAAAAGAAUUUGGAGUAUCGAAAAAGUCUGAGACACCUAUCAAGUUUGAAUUGUUACGAUGACGGUUUCAGACGAAUUUAAAUUUAGUUCGAGACAACAUAUAAACGAUUCGACGUUCGACGUGACUUAAAAAUAUACUUAAUAUCUAAUUACCUAUAUAUUUAUUAUAUCAAUCUCGAAAUCGUCUCUUAAAUAAUGUUAUUCGUUAUACGGAAAACCAGCGGCCGCGUAGAAAUAGUAGUAGGAGGCUCAUCCGGGGAUCGUCGACGAUUGCGAAAGGAGAAGGAAGGGAUGGCAGCGGGCAGCAACAUCCGCAGCAGCCGCCGAGGGAAUCUUAUCGGUCGCCGUUCCACACACACACACACACACACACCCACACACCCACACACGCACACACUAGCACUCGUCUACUCUAGUCCGCGAGUAUAUAUAGUGUAUAUAGUUUCGCCUUCAUUAUUCAUGGCCGUCAGAGGAUGCGGUCGCUAUGGUUACGACGCGGCGGCGGGCGACGGUAGGGACGGCGGUGCACGAGACGGCGUCGGCGGGGGUGGACGCGGCGGCGUGGGGGUAUUACUACACGCCCUCCGGCGCGGGUACCGCCGGUCGACCGCCCGCCGCCGCCGCCGUCCGCCCGCCCCGCCGGCCGGCGCUACGGUCCGGGUCGCGAGCGCCGUCAUAAGAAAAAUUCCGCUCGCCGUUUCUUAUAUUCCGCGCGCACGCCACCGAGACCGCAGCCGGCCGCCCUUAAGACGGGCUCAUCCCCAGGCCGCCGGUAACGCCGCCGCCUCCGUCGUCGUCGCCGCACACUCGCACGCAAACCGAGCGCCGCACGUAUUGAUCCGCGCGCGUUAGCUGCGUCCACCGCGAGCGGAGACCGCGCGCACUCCGUCCCUUUAUCUUAAUCGACCCGGCCGGCCGGCAGAGGAGCCCGCGAGAAGUUUGCGAAAAUUUCACACACACACACACGCGUACACGCGCACGCACAAAGGCACACGCGCUCGCUCGUUUCCAACCCUCGGUCGGUUGACGGGUCGUCGUUGUUCUUAGCUGCCUCCCUCUUAGGUGCAGUACCUACGUAUAAUUUUGUCACGGGAAUAAAUUUAUUUACGAAAAUCGUAAUAAUAAUAAUAUAAUAAUAAUACAAUAAAAUACAUUGGAAUUAUUUCGAGAAUUCGAGAUUGCCGAUCGCAUAAUUUACUUGUUUUGUAUACAAUUUACAUAAUAUAAUUGAUUUCAUAUCUAACUAAACCUAUAACGUUUAUCACGAAAUGCGAUUUUACAUAUUUUCACAAUUCUGUUUAUAGAUGUGAUCUAAUUCGUUUUCAUCGUCAAAUAAAAUCUAUUUCUAUGUAACCCUUUACACACUGAAUACGUCUGAACGUAUCUCCUGUGGCCUAUACACGACACACGUCCUCCAAUAAUUGUCUGCAUUACUUACUCUUAUUAUAAUAUGCAUUGUUAUUCCCGAUUCCUCCUUCCUAUUCGUUCCUGGGGUUCAAACGGGUCCAAGAUGCGCAAAAUACACAACCGGUCGGCCAAAUGUUUUAACGAGAAUUAUUCGUUAUAACUGUACUUAUAUUAUGAAGCAUGAUCGAGAAAAGUAAAGAAACUAGGGGAUGAUAUUCCUACAAUGUACCAUAUUACAUAUAUAUUUCAACAAAUACGAACGGUAGUCAAUGAUAUAACAGUUAUACAUAUUAUAAAGACAAAGACUAUAGCGCGUAAUAUUUUUAAACCAAUUCAGCUAUUUAAAACUUUGUUAAACGUUAAAUUACGCUAUAAUUUCCUGUCUUUUUCAAAAUUAACACAACAAUUCAAAAUGUAAAAAACAAACCACUAAACAUACUACGUCACGGUGAAGGAACCGAAACAAGUGUUCAUAUCCGGACUAAUGUAUCUUGUGCAGAUUUUUUGAACUUAGAUCAUUAGAUGAUUUGAUUUUGUGGAUCUUUUAAGUUUUAACAACUAAAAUUUUUCAAUUACAUGUUUCAAGAAAACUAAAUGUCACAAUCUUAUUUUCAAAUAUUUUAUACCAAACAGUUAUUUUUUUAAAUACACGUACAAAGAAAUUUAAAUCUAAUAUAAAAUCAUAAACAAUUCAAUGUAACAAUUGAAUGUAUUAAAAAUAUUUUGAAAACUACUAACUCAAUAAUAAUCCAUGGUAUAUACCUAUAUUAUAUCUACUAUGAGUUAUAUUAUGUAUGUUUUGUAGUAUUUAAAACUAUAUACGUGACAGAUUAAAUUUGUUAGGUUAAAUUCAAACAUUUGUUUAAUGCAUAUUUUAUAAGCUCAUUAGAACGUUUUCGUUUAACAUAAUAGUAGGUAUGUCAGAUGUAAUUAUUAUACACUAUACGACCGGCCGGUUUCUCUAUAGCCUCUCUUGGUCCAAUGCUCCUCGGCCACCUGCACGAGGUGAGCCCCGCGCAUACGGCCGACGGCCAGAGGAGGUUAUAAGUAUCCACAAUUCUACAUUCCAUCCCGUACUCAAAUCUUUACAUACAUAGAAACUGAUUAUUCAUGUUAUUUUAUCAUAUAUCUAUAUUAUAUAUAUUUGAUUUAAUUAGAAAUAUGAUUAAAUAUUAAAAAACCGUAUUUAUCUUCGUUUGCAAAUAACAUAAUUAUAGAUUGCCGUAAAUAAUAAAUACUGAUUAAAUCGAAUUGAAAUAUAAUUUUAAUCAAUUGAAAACCUUUUAAAAACAUAUAUUACAGGUGUGUUAAAAGUAAGGUAUUCAAAGUAUUCGUAAUAUUGUUGAUUUACGACCAUAAAUGAAUCUAUAUUUUUAUUUUCUAUUAUGUGAGUUGGGUUUAUUUGUAAAUAUUACAAAACCCAGUGACUGUAUCCCAUAGGAAAAUCAGUAGACAAUUUCACUUGCAAUACGUACCCAUAUUUGGCAAGGAAAUUAUAGUCCCGGUCGACACUACGUUGAAUCCGGAAGUAAUUUCAAGCUAAUGCGAUGGCUUUGCAAUUGAUUUUCUACACUCGUAAUCCCAACAAUCGUAUUUUAUUAGGUAACUGCUGAUGGAUGUUUUUCAGUUAGGUAAUAAUUGAAAUAAUCAAUUAAAUAUGUUAUAUUUCAACAAAUUAUUAUGACAAAUCUGUAUCAUAAUUAAAUAAUUAAAUUACACCACCCAUCCACCCUAAAUAAUUUAUACUUUAGGUACCUACCUACUAAAUGACUACCUAGUACCUACUGUAUAAAUAUUUAAUACACUACAUUAAAAUUAUGUGGUAUGUAUUAACUAAUAAUACAAUUAUAAAUAUUUUACAUUUAUUAUUUUAAAAGUAUAAAAUACCAUUUUUAUUCAUCAAAACGGUUUAUUAUAUGUUAAGACUUAAGGAUAUUAUUUAUUAUAAAAACUAUAAAACUACUUAAAUACUGAAAUCUCAAUAUUAAUUAAUAAUAAGUAAAUAAACAAACACUAGAAGCCAAAUAAAACCGCUACACCUGUAUUUCGUGUUAAAUAACGAUUUGUACAAUCUCUUUGUUAUAUUAUGUCGGGGCAUAGGUAUUGUCAAAGAUUCGUUUAAAGCUUUCUCGGUCCAAGCAUCCCAUCCGGUGACAUUCAACAAAUAAGCAUGCUACUAUUCAUGUACUUAAAACAAAAGAUUAAAUGGAAUUACUAACAUUUUGUUUCGUAUUUACUAUUUUUGUUUAAUUUUGUGUUUAAUUAAAUGCACAGUAUGUAUAUACACGUAAUACAUAUAUUAAUUGGUAGGCAUUAGAAACAUUCGCCGUCGAAUAAUAUAAAUUGUUAUUUUAUAAUUAAUAACAUAAAUAAUUCUUUCAUUUGAUUAAAAUUAUUUUUACACUUAAAAAUAUUAUUUAAAGCAAUAAAUAAUUUUUUAAAAAUAC